AUCAGCGUGGGAUUCACGGCGAAAUGAGACUGUUCGUGAGUGAGGGCGUCCCGGGUUGCUUGCCGGUGCUGGCCGCCGCCGGGAGAGCCCGGGGCAGAGCAGAGGUGCUCAUCAGCACUGUAGGCCCGGAAGAUUGUGUGGUCCCGUUCCUGACCCGGCCUAAGGUCCCUGUCUUGCAGCUGGAUAGUGGCAACUACCUCUUCUCCACUAGUGCAAUCUGCCGAUAUUUUUUUUUGUUAUCUGGCUGGGAGCAAGAUGACCUCACUAACCAGUGGCUGGAAUGGGAAGCGACAGAGCUGCAGGUAGGACUAAGGUAUGGGGGAUGUCAGGCAGGCCCUUGUUCUGCGUGGCCAUCCUAACUCAUGUCCCCUGCAUUUUAGCCAGCUUUGUCUGCUGCCCUGUACUAUUUAGUGGUCCAAGGCAAGAAGGGGGAAGAUGUUCUUGGUUCAGUGCGGAGAGCCCUGACUCACAUUGACCACAGCUUGAGUCGUCAGAACUGUCCUUUCCUGGCUGGGGUGAGUUGGGUCUUGAGAUGAGGACUGGGGAAGGCUUAUGGUGUAAGGAUUAAGAGGGAAGACUGUAUUCAGAGUGUUCGAACCCAACACUGCCACUUACUAGUAGUGUAAUCUUGGCAAAUCACUUAAUCUCUCUAAUCCUCAAUUUUUUUCAGUUGUGAAAUGGGAUAAUAUUAGUACCUAUCUCAGUGAGUUAUUGUGAGGAUUAAGUGAGAUCAUAUAAAG
rnacentral:sRNA from 1 species